rnacentral:rRNA from 1 species
AGUAUAGCAAUUAUACCGCGAAACUGCGAAUGGCUCAUUAAAUCAGUUAUCGUUUAUUUGAUAGUGCCUUUCCUACUUGGAUAACCGUGGUAAUUCUAGAGCUAAUACAUGCUAAAAAUCCCGACUUCGGAAGGGAUGCAUUUAUUGGAUACAGAACCAACGCCCUUCGGGGCUUUCUGGUGAAUCACAAUAACUCCGCGGAUCGCACGGCCUUGUGCCGGCGAUGGUUCAUUCAAAUUUCUGCCCUAUCAACUUUCGACGGCUGGGUCUUGGCCAGCCGUGGUGACAACGGGUAACGGAGGGUUAGGGCUUGACCCCGGAGAAGGAGCCUGAGAGACGGCUACUACAUCCAAGGAAGGCAGCAGGCGCGCAAAUUACCCAAUCCCGAUUCGGGGAGGUAGUGACAAUAAAUACUGAUCCAGGGCUCUUUUGGGUCUUGGAAUUGGAAUGAGUACAAUUUAAAUCCCUUAACGAGGAACAAUUGGAGGGCAAGUCUGGUGCCAGCAGCCGCGGUAAUUCCAGCUCCAAUAGCGUAUAUUAAAGUUGUUGAGGUUAAAAAGCUCGUAGUUGAACCUUGGCCCUGGCUGGCCGGUCCGCCUCACCGCGAGCACUGGUCCGGCCGGGGCUUUCCCUCUGGGGACCCUCAUGCCCUUCACUGGGUGUGCUGGAGAACCAGGACUUUUACUGUGAACAAAUCAGAUCGCUCAAAGAAGGCUCUCGCUCGAAUGCUUCAGCAUGGAAUAAUGAAAUAGGACGCGCGGUUCUAUUUUGUUGGUUUCUAGGACCGCCGUAAUGAUUAAUAGGGACAGUCGG